GACCCAGGACUUGCGGAGGCUGGAGGAGGACAGGGCCAACCACCCUCCCAGGGCCUGGGAGGAAGAGGGGCCUUCUGGGGCCACCCAGGCCAUUGGGAUGAAGGCCUCCACCAGCCACAGUCGGACCAGUCCCCUGGGCUUUGCUGUUUCCCAGCAGCCUGCAGAGGCCCCACAGAAAGCCUGAGGCCCCUCCUUCCGCUGCCUGGCCAAGUCCCCGCCUCCCCAGAGCCUCCUUCCCAUGCUCUGAAACGGGACCCCCGGUCUGUCACCAGCCCACCCUCUGUCCUGAUGAACCUGGGCCGCAACUUGAGGGCCCAGGCCUCGAGCCUUUUCUGGGACAGGCGGAAGGAACCCCGACCCUCGUUCUGUAGCUGGUGCAAAAGCUGUGGCUGCUGGGCCUGGAUCACGUGGUGGCCCAGGGGGCAUAAGAAGCCCAGGGGGAGGCCCACCAGCUACCAGACCCAGCUCUGAGCUGGGGCCAGGGCUCCGGCCCGGGUGUAGGAAGUUGUUCUGGGUACCCCUGCUAACCACACGCCCCUCACCCCUUGACCCCCAAAUUAAAGGUGGCUCCUUAGUACUUGUUGAUUUUUAGGAACAGGUUCAUCUCCCUCAAUUCUUGGCCCUUUCUCCUCAGUCCCUAAUUACUGUUUCUAAUCAGAUGUGUCUCUGCGUAGGUGAGGAGACCCUCUGCCUGGCCGAGGGUCUUCUUUCCCCACCUCCUUGCCUGUGGCCCACGAGUGUCCAGGCUCCCUCCCAAGGCCCUGUCAUUCCCCUCAGGUCCUCCCCUCAGUGUCCCUUGUUUCCUCCUUCUAGAUGUUUGGCCCUUUCCCACCCUUUGCUUAUAAACAGCUGGAGUCGGGGGCUCCGGACCCCCAUCGAUACUUGCCCUGCUAUCCACAGCGCUUCUCACGCUCCUGUUGCUUGUCAGCCUGUGUAUGUGCCGGUGCAGAAAAUAAAGGACCUGUGCACGACC